rnacentral:tRNA from 1 species
AGGAGAAAUGGCCGAGUGGUUUAAGGCGCAGCACUGGAAAUGCUGUUUAAGAGAAAUCUUAACGAGGGUUCGAAUCCCUCUUUCUCCUU